UACGAAGGGGGCUAGCGUUGUUCGGAAUUACUGGGCGUAAAGCGCACGUAGGCGGUCUUUUAAGUCGGUGGUGAAAUCCUGGAGCUCAACUCCAGAACUGCCUUCGAUACUGGAAGACUUGAGUCCGGGAGAGGUGAGUGGAACUGCGAGUGUAGAGGUGAAAUUCGUAGAUAUUCGCAAGAACACCAGUGGCGAAGGCGAGUCUCUGGACAUUUCCUGACGCUGAGGCACGAAAGCCAGGGGAGCAAACGGG
rnacentral:rRNA from 1 species